GGGCGAUUAGCUCAGUUGGGAGAGCACCUGCCUUACAAGCAGGGGGUCACUGGUUCAAGCCCAGUAUCGCCCACCA
rnacentral:tRNA from 1 species